UACGUAGGGUGCAAGCGUUGUCCGGAAUUAUUGGGCGUAAAGAGCUCGUAGGCGGUCUGUCGCGUCUGCUGUGAAAUCCCGAGGCUCAACCUCGGGUCCAGUCGAUACGAGCAAACUAGAGUGUUGCAGGGGAGACUGGAAUUCCUGGUGUAGCGGUGAAAUGCGCAGAUAUCAGGAGGAACACCGGUGGCGAAGGCGGGUCUCUGGGUAACAACUGACGCUGAGGAGCGAAAGCGUGGGGAGCGAACAGG
rnacentral:rRNA from 1 species